rnacentral:rRNA from 1 species
AGAGUUUGAUCCUGGCUCAGGAUGAACGCCGGCGGUGUGCCUAAUACAUGCAAGUCGUACGCACUGGCCCUACUGAUUGAUGGUGCUUGCACCUGAUUGACGAUGGAUCACCAGUGAGUGGCGGACGGGUGAGUAACACGUAGGUAACCUGCCUCGGAGCGGGGGAUAACAUUUGGAAACAGAUGCUAAUACCGCAUAACAACAAAAGCCACAUGGCUUUUGUUUGAAAGAUGGCUUUGGCUAUCACUCUGGGAUGGACCUGCGGUGCAUUAGCUAGUUGGUAAGGUAACGGCUUACCAAGGCAAUGAUGCAUAGCCGAGUUGAGAGACUGAUCGGCCACAAUGGAACUGAGACACGGUCCAUACUCCUACGGGAGGCAGCAGUAGGGAAUCUUCCACAAUGGGCGCAAGCCUGAUGGAGCAACACCGCGUGAGUGAAGAAGGGUUUCGGCUCGUAAAGCUCUGUUGUUGGAGAAGAACGUGCGUGAGAGUAACUGUUCACGCAGUGACGGUAUCCAACCAGAAAGUCACGGCUAACUACGUGCCAGCAGCCGCGGUAAUACGUAGGUGGCAAGCGUUAUCCGGAUUUAUUGGGCGUAAAGCGAGCGCAGGCGGUUGCUUAGGUCUGAUGUGAAAGCCUUCGGCUUAACCGAAGAAGUGCAUCGGAAACCGGGCGACUUGAGUGCAGAAGAGGACAGUGGAACUCCAUGUGUAGCGGUGGAAUGCGUAGAUAUAUGGAAGAGCACCAGUGGCGAAGGCGGCUGUCUGGUCUGCAACUGACGCUGAGGCUCGAAAGCAUGGGUAGCGAACAGGAUUAGAUACCCUGGUAGUCCAUGCCGUAAACGAUGAGUGCUAGGUGUUGGAGGGUUUCCGCCCUUCAGUGCCGGAGCUAACGCAUUAAGCACUCCGCCUGGGGAGUACGACCGCAAGGUUGAAACUCAAAGGAAUUGACGGGGGCCCGCACAAGCGGUGGAGCAUGUGGUUUAAUUCGAAGCUACGCGAAGAACCUUACCAGGUCUUGACAUCUUGCGCUAACCUUAGAGAUAAGGCGUUCCCUUCGGGGACGCAAUGACAGGUGGUGCAUGGUCGUCGUCAGCUCGUGUCGUGAGAUGUUGGGUUAAGUCCCGCAACGAGCGCAACCCUUGUUACUAGUUGCCAGCAUUAAGUUGGGCACUCUAGUGAGACUGCCGGUGACAAACCGGAGGAAGGUGGGGACGACGUCAGAUCAUCAUGCCCCUCAUGACCUGGGCUACACACGUGCUACAAUGGACGGUACAACGAGUCGCAAGCUCGCGAGAGUAAGCUAAUCUCUUAAAGCUGUUCUCAGUUCGGACUGUAGGCUGCAACUCGCCUACACGAAGUCGGAAUCGCUAGUAAUCGCGGAUCAGAAUGCUGCGGUGAAUACGUUCCCGGGUCUUGUACUCACCGCCCGUCA